UACGGGGGGGGCAAGCGUUGUUCGGAGUUACUGGGCGUAAAGGGUGCGUAGGCGGCUUUUUAAGUUUGGUGUGAAAUCUCCCGGCUCAACUGGGAGGGUGCGCCGAAUACUGAGAGGCUAGAGUGCGGGAGAGGAAAGUGGAAUUCCUGGUGUAGCGGUGAAAUGCGUAGAUAUCAGGAGGAACACCGGUGGUGUAAACGGCUUUCUGGACCGUAACUGACGCUGAGGCACGAAAGCGUGGGUAGCAAACAGG
rnacentral:rRNA from 1 species